GGGGCAGUCGCUCAACAGGAGGAGCAACCGGUUUCUACCCGGUCCGAUGGAGGUUCGAGUCCUCCCUGUCCCA
rnacentral:tRNA from 1 species